AGAGUUUGAUCCUGGCUCAGAAUCAACGCUGGCGGCGUGCCUAACACAUGCAAGUCGAACGCGAAAGGGACUUCGGUCCUGAGUAGAGUGGCGAACGGGUGAGUAACGCGUGGGUGACCUACCCUCGAGUGGGGGAUAACGUUCCGAAAGGGACGCUAAUACCGCAUGACAUUCCUGGUUUGAAGACUGGGAAAUCAAAGCCGGGGACCGCAAGGCCUGGCGCUUGAGGAGGGGCCCGCGUCUGAUUAGCUAGUUGGCGGGGUAACGGCCCACCAAGGCGACGAUCAGUAGCCGGCCUGAGAGGGCGGACGGCCACACUGGGACUGAGACACGGCCCAGACUCCUACGGGAGGCAGCAGUGGGGAAUUGUUCGCAAUGGGCGCAAGCCUGACGACGCAACGCCGCGUGGAGGAUGAAGGUCCUCGGAUUGUAAACUCCUGUUGAUCGGGACGAAAAGCUCCAACCUAAUACGUUGGAGACUGACGGUACCGGUUGAGGAAGCCACGGCUAACUCUGUGCCAGCAGCCGCGGUAAUACAGAGGUGGCAAGCGUUGUUCGGAAUUACUGGGCGUAAAGGGCGCGUAGGCGGCCUUCUAAGUCGGACGUGAAAGCCCCAGGCUUAACCUGGGAACUGCGUCUGAUACUGGGAGGCUUGGAUUCGGGAGAGGGAUGUGGAAUUCCAGGUGUAGCGGUGAAAUGCGUAGAUAUCUGGAGGAACACCGGUGGCGAAGGCGGCAUCCUGGGACCGAGAUCGACGCUGAGGCGCGAAAGCUAGGGGAGCAAACGGGAUUAGAUACCCC
rnacentral:rRNA from 1 species